GUGACCAAGUAUAAGAUGGGGGGCGAGCGGGGGGCACGGUGCGACAUGGCCAACCAGGUACUUCGGACCUUGGUGGAAGCAUCUAGCUCAGGUGUGUUAGUACUGAGCCUGUGUGAGAAAGGCCAUGCCAUGAUCACGGAAGAAACAGAGAAAAUCUUCAAGAAAGAAAAGGAAAUGAAGAAAGGUAUUGCUUUUCCCACAAGCAUUUCAGUAAAUAACUUUGUAUGUCACUUCUUCCCUUUGAAGAGCAGCCAGGAUUAUAUUCUUAAGGAAGGUGACUUGGUAAAAAUUGACCUUGGGUUCCAUGUGGACAGCUUAAUCGCUAAUGUAGCUCAUACCUUGGUGGUUGAUGUAGCUCAGGGGACCCAAGUAACAGGGAGGAAAGCAGAUGUUAUUAAGACAGCUCACCUUUGUGCUGAAGCUGCCCUAUGCCUGGCCAAACCUAGAAAUCAGAACACACAAGUGACAGACGUGGAACAAAAUUGCUCACUCAUUUAAUUGGAUGCCGAUAGAAGGUAUGCUGUCACACCAGUUGAAGCAGCAUGUCAUCAACGGUGAAAAAAACAUUAUCCAGAAUCCCAUAGACCAGCAGAAGAAGGACCAAGAAAAAGCUGAAUUUGAGGUAUGUGAAGUAUAUGCUGUGGAUGUUCUCGUCAGCUUAGGAGAGGGCAAGGUCAACAAUGCAGGACAGAGAACCACUAUUUACAAAUGAGAUCCCUCCAAACAGUAUGAACUGAAAAUGAAAACUUCACGUGCCUUCUUCAGUGAGGUGGAAAGGCGUUUUGAUGCCAUGCCAUUUACUUUAAGAGCAUUUGAAGAUGAGAAGAAGGCUUGGAUGGGUGUGGUGGAGUGCACCAAGCAUGGACUGCUACAACCAUUUAAUGUUCUUUAUGAGAAGGAGGGGGAAUUUGUUGCCCAGUUUAAAUUUGCAAUUCUGCUCAUGCCCAAUGGCCCCAUGCAGAUAACCAGUGGUCCCUUUGAGCCUGACCUCUACAAGUCUGAGAUGAAGGUCCAGGAUGCAGAGCUAAAGGCCCUCCUUCAGAGUUCUGCAAGUCAAGAAACCCAGAAAAAGAAAAAGAAAAAAAGAAAAGGCUUCCAAGACUGUGGAGAAUGCCACCAGUGGGGAAACAUUAGAAGAAAAUGAAACUGGGGACUGAGGUGGGUCCCAUUUCCCCAGCUUGCUACUUCUGCCUCAUCCCCUUCCCACCACACCCCAGACUUUGUGAAGUACAGUUCUUCUUCUCCACCUAGGACCCCCAGCAGAGCAGGGGGUCUCCCUUUCUCCCCCACCCCAGUUCCCCAACCCACUCCUUUCCAACAACAACCAGCUCC